rnacentral:rRNA from 1 species
GAUGAACGCUAGCGGCAGGCCUAAUACAUGCAAGUCGGACGGGAUCCAUUGAUAGCUUGCUAUCAAUGGUGAGAGUGGCGCACGGGUGCGUAACGCGUGAGCAACCUGCCUCCAUCAGGGGGAUAGCCUCUCGAAAGAGAGAUUAACACCGCAUAAUAUCAACAGUUCGCAUGUUCAGUUGAUUAAAUAUUUAUAGGAUGGAGAUGGGCUCGCGUGACAUUAGCUAGUUGGUAGGGUAACGGCUUACCAAGGCGACGAUGUCUAGGGGCUCUGAGAGGAGAAUCCCCCACACUGGUACUGAGACACGGACCAGACUCCUACGGGAGGCAGCAGUAAGGAAUAUUGGCCAAUGGGCGGAAGCCUGAACCAGCCAUGCCGCGUGCAGGAUGACUGCCCUAUGGGUUGUAAACUGCUUUUGUCCAGGAAUAAACCUAAAUACGAGUAUUUAGCUGAAUGUACUGGAAGAAUAAGGAUCGGCUAACUCCGUG